GAUGUCAUUUUUGCCUUAAUUUGAUGUCAUCCAUCAUUUUUAUAAUUUUUUUUGAAAUUUUCAUUUUUUAUUAUUUUAUUAUUUUUAUUUAAAAUUAAUUCCCUAAACCGAUAUAUGCCGAUUUACACUAAUUUAGGACUACCCAGCACAUGAAUAUAACAAGAACCAAGCUCAAAUCGACCGUUUCAAGAUCGAAACUUGGUUUGUGCAUUUCGUCAAACAUUUGGCGUGCAUCAAAUCAUCCCAAACCAGUUUCCUCGGGCCAUGUUUGUGGCCUUCAAUCUCAACGCAUGAGCAAUAUUAUGUGGAACUAAAACAUCAAGGUUAAACUAUCACAUGCAAGGAGUAAGAUUAGAUAGAAAUCACAGCUUAAAACACACGAAAACCAAGCUGGAAUCGGCCUCAAAUAUGUGGGUUGAGCUGAUUUUGAAAUCUGGGUUUGAACCAAAGUCAAGUAAACAGGUUGCAUGCCCAUAUUCAAGCCUCAACACUCAUCGUAUACGAGAUCUAAAGGAAACAUUACUUGAUCCGAGUAAAAGUAGGUAACAUGAUCUUUCAAAUGCAAUAAACAUCACAGAGAAUGACCCACUGAACAACAUCAAAACGACCUCUCCAAGAAGCACACAUGCAACACUCUUGACACUUAGAAAAAUUUCAACCUCAGAAAUCAGUUUUCCGGGCUGGUUUCCCUCUUGAUUUUCAUGAUCAAAACAUACUCAAAAUCGAAAAUACGUACAUCUAGGAUGCUUACCUUACUUCCUAGUUUCCUUUUCAAGUGGUUCUUGGCCAAGGAAACCGAGAAAUUGUCCUCUGGAAGCACGUGGAAGUUGGCUUCUUCAACUGGAAAUGAGAUCUGCAGAAAAGAAGAACUGACAACGAAGGUUUUUGUUGACCUCUAAAAUUAGACUUUAAGACGUCUUUUGUUGGAAAAAUUGACACCAACCCAAACUAUAUGUAUUGUAGCUUGGGUUAGAAGUCAAUAUUUUUCUCAUUUGUUUCUCAACUUUCUCAAAAACACUGCCUUUUUCCCACUCGUGACCAACUGGGCUCAACACUUAGAAAAAUUUUCAGUGUUUCCUGGCCCGCCUAGAGGGUGUUUUUCGGGGGGCUUUAGGAAGCCUUCCCGAUCUCCAUUUAGGACGUGCGACCUAUGGAUGGAAAGAUAUUUGAGUGAAGUUUCACUCUCUAGUUGAAGGUUUUGGCUAAUUUUGGCCGAAGGGUUGUGAAAAUCUCACUUUUCUCUCAAAAGGUUGAUCUGGAAUUUUCUGGGUUUUUCCUCUGGAGUUGCUUCUGAGGGCCUCUUUGGGGGACGAUUCCGAGCUCUCCCCUCUCCCUCUCGUC
rnacentral:lncRNA from 1 species